rnacentral:lncRNA from 1 species
UGACAACUUCGUUUAUGACUUUAGUUUAAUUACAUGUAAAUUGGUUAGAGGUUCUGUAUUAGUCAUCAUUUGGAGUUUCUGGAUUUUAAUAAAUAAAUAAUACUGCCAUACUUAUGGAGACAAUUAAUUAUUAGAAUAAUUUUUAUCAUAUCCGAAAUAUUAAAAAUGGAGGAGAUGAACAUUAGUUCAUUUGAGUGAGUCAUUAAUUCAUCAACGUGAGAUAGUUCUCUUAUUAGUAAUCACACUAUCAUCAUUUGGUGAAGGAAUAUUAUAUCACUAUGUAUAUCAAUUUUCUCUCAAUUAGUUUAAAGGAAAAAAAAUAAUUAAAAAAUAAAUAGAAUUAAAAAAGAAUAUGUGAGCAGAGAAAAAAUAUAAUAAUAAAAGAAAAAAAUAGUGCAGAAUAGAGAAAAAUAAAGAUAAAAAAGAGGAAUAGAUCCUUAAAAAGAAAGUAAGAAUAAAAUAAAAAUAAAUAAACAUUUAUUAUAAAAAAGCAGAAACAGAAGAAACAAAAGAUGAAAGUGAUAAAAAGUAAUAAAAAUAAAAAAUAAAGAAAAGGUAAAAAAGAAAAAAAGAAAAAAGGGAAAACAAAAAAUUUAACCAAAAAUUAUUUAAAUGAAAGAAGAAGAGAAACAUUAUGUUAAACAAAAACAAAAAAAUCAAAAUUGAAAGGUAAAAAGAAGAAGGAACAGAAUAUUGAAAUUUUUUUACAAAAAUAACGUGCAAAAGAAAAAAAAAUUUGGUCUUAACCUCUUUAACAUUUUCUUUUCUAAACCUAAUCCUAAAUCCCCUAGAAUUUUACCUCCUAUUAUAAUUCAACUAUCUACUCCCACUAAAACGACAAUACUAAAAUUUCCGAACUCUAAAAAAUCUAAACAAGACAGUUACAAUAAAUCAAAGAAGGUGGGAUAUAAGUAAAUAUAUAGCUAAUAAGUAUACUAUAUCCAAAAACUAAGUCAAGCCAAGAUGUAAGUCAAUGAAGCGACUGUGCUAGAACCACGGGACUCGAGGGGUGCCUUACACCUUCCCCUUGGUCAAUAGAAUUUCUUAUCCAGAUUUCUAGUUCGUAGACCAUUAAAAAUUAGAAUCAACUUCCUUUUGAUUAGGGGUAAAAAUUAGGUGACUUGGAACACCAAAACUCAAUUCAAGUGACGACUCUGAAAUAAAAUAAUCCCUUUUCAAAAUGUCACUUUAAUUGGAGAAACUCUAUUUUUCAAACUUUCGUUUGGGGAAAAAUAGGGGUGUGACAAUAGUCAUGCAUGUGAAUAGUGUUGAG